rnacentral:rRNA from 1 species
CAGCCGCCACGGUAAUACGUAGGUCCCGAGCGUUGUCCGGAUUUAUUGGGCGUAAAGGGAGCGCAGGCGGUUUAGUAAGUCUGAAGUUAAAGGCAUUGGCUCAACCAAUGUAUGCUUUAGAAACUGUUAGACUUGAGUGCAGAAGGGGAGAGUGGAAUUCCAUGUGUAGCGGUGAAAUGCGUAGAUAUAUGGAGGAACACCGGUGGCAAAAGCGGCUCUCUGGCUUGUAACUGACGCUGAGGCUCGAAAGCGUGGGGAGCAAACAGGAUUAGAUACCCCCGUAGUCCCUGUCUCUUAUACA